AGCAAUGUGAGAAUGAACUAAUACAAUCAGUAAUUUCUCUCUGUAUAGGUUUUUAUCUCUAUGAUGACUUUUUUUUUCUUUUUAGACAGAGUUUCGCUCUUGUUGCCUAGGCUGGAGUGCAAUGCCACGAUCUCAGCUCAACUCAACCUCUGCCUCCCGGGUUCAAGUGAUUCUCCUGCCUCAGCCUCUUGAGUAUCUGAGAUUACAGGCAUGUGCCACCAUGCCCGGCUAAUUUUAUAUUUUUAGUAGAGAUGGCGUUUCUCCAUGUUGGUCAGGCUGGUCUCGAACUCCCGACCUCCAAUGAUCCGUCCGCCUUGGCCUCCCAAAGUGCUGGGAUUAUAGGCGUGAGCCACUGCACCCAGAUGUGAUGACUUUUUUAAUCAAGAAAAGGUUUAAUGGUUUGAAAGGGAUUACAGGCAUGUGCCACCACACCUGGCUAAUUUUGUAUAUAUAUAUAUUUUUUUUUAGUUUCUCCAUGUUGGUCAGGUUGGUCUCGAACUCCCGACCUCAGGUGAUCCGCCCGUCUUGGCCUCCCAAAGUGCUGGGAUUACAGGCAUGAGCCACCGUGCCUGGCUGAAAAAUAAAUUUUAAUGAGAGCUUAGAGCUUUUUCUUCUGCCUUGUUAACUUUAUCAAUGAUUCCAUUUCUUAAAAGUUAACAUAGAACCUUUAGGGGAGGCUGUGAAAUACAUGUGUAUGGAAUAACCAGCCUACUUUUAGGUAAUGUAACAGAGCAGACUGGAGCCUCCAGGUUCUGCUCACUGCAACCUCCGCCUCCCAGAUUCAAGGGAUUCUUCUGCCUCAGCCUCCCGAGUAGCUGGGAUUACAGGCAUGUGCCACCAUGCCUGGCAGCCUCCGAAAGUGCUGGAAUUACAGGCGUGAGCCACUGCGCCCAGCAACAUUACAAGUUUUAAAGGGAAGUUAAGAAAACCCCAAAAUACCUCACCUUUAAAAAAUAGAUAAAAGCCUACAUUCACAAGGAUAAAGUUUCAAGCCCAAAGAAACACCUCACAGGACCUAGUGGGGAAGGUGGAGCAUCUACACCUGAGUUACUGCCCAUCACACAGGUUGGUGUGAGGAACCAAUGAGAUAAUGUGAAUGAAUUCGGUAUGAUUGAGUUGCUAUCGGAAGCUCAUCUUGCACUUCUAUUAUCUGGAUGAGGUUGCUUUAUUUUAAAAACACCUGACCUCGUGAUCCACCUGCCUCAGCCUCCCAAAGUGCUGGGAUUACAGGUGUGAGCCACUGCACCCAGCCAAGGAAGUUGCCUAGGCCGGUCUCAAACUACUGGGCUCAAGCGAUCUGCCUGUCUUGGCCUCCCAAAGUUCUGGGAUUACAGGCGUGAGCCACUGCACCCAGCCUGCUCCAUGAUUUCUGACACUGUGGUGGAAAUUCCUUUCUACUCCUCCCUCCUCCCAGCCCCACCUGUUCUGCAGCAGAACCCCCAUUCUGAUACUGGUGUGUAUCUCCUCUACCCAUGCAUAGGUGUACAUAAUCAACAUUUAGUAAUGUUUUCUAUUUUAUACAAAUAAUACUUCAUACAGUUUUCUACAGCUUACACUUCACUCAGUUCCAUGUUUUCAAGACUUGUCUCAGUUGAUAUUUGGAGAUCUAGUGUAUUCAUUUUGAACAUCUAUUUCUGCAUUAUUUCUAUGAAUUUAUUAAAAUGUAUGCAUUCGUUUACUUAUUGGUGAAUAUGUAAGUCAUUUUUAAUUGUUCAUUCUCAAAAACAAUGAUUUGCAGGGACCUUGAUACUGGCUUUAACUUUGUUUCUGUUGUCUUUUGUUAUAUAAAAAUAUUACAUUUUCAUUUUGUCAAACUUAUCAAUCUUUUUCUGUUGUGGCUUAUGCUUCUUUUUGACUGCAGUUUUCUUAACAAUUUUCUUAACUAUUAAGAACAUUCUCAGGCCCCCGCCCAGACUUACAGAAUCAGAAUCCACAUUUUCACAAGCCGUUUUGCGGUAGACAAUUUUCCCAUUGAUGGAACGGGGCUCGGGGGGCGGGAGGUGAUGGUGGUUUCAGGAUUAAACUGUUCCAUCUCAGAUCAUCAGGCGUUAGAUUCUCAUAAGGAGCAUGCAACCUGGAUCCCUUGCACGCACAGUUCACGACAGGGUUUGUGCUCCUGGUUCCUAACAGACCACAGACUGGAACCAGGGGUCAGACCCCUGCCCUAAAGGGCUGGCAAAUUCUUCCAGUUAGAAAUAGGUACCCACUCACUGGGAGGUUGGAGGACUGGCUAACUCCCUUGGAAUUUCUCAGGGAUUCCUGAUGAAAGUGAGUGGACUCACUCCCAGGUGCCCAAACACCUGCCCUCUGCUGGGCUGCCUUCCCUCUGAUCUGGUACAAUUAUUGUGGCAAGCUUUUAAUGGGAGGCAUUUGUGUACUGAACUAAGUAUCUGGGUGGCGGAGUCAAUACAGUAUAAAUGUUUUUAGGUCAUCUGUCUUUGAGGUGGGCUGUUCACCUCCUUGUUCCCUUGUGGACCCCACUCUUGGGGUCCUGCAGCCUGUCUUCUUUCCCUCCAUCAGCAGCUCCCAGGGAGAAUGCAUCCUAUCCCUCUGAGGUGCUGUCAUCUGACACCCUCCUGGACAGUCCCCCUCAUUUGUGCUUUAAAGUGUUUGGCAACUGCCCCUUGUCAUCAGCACUCUCAGUCCCACUGUUAUUCUGGUGUCUUUGAUGUGUAUGUGGCUGACCCAACUGAUACCCUGACUUCUCAGCUCCUUGACUUCCUCA
rnacentral:lncRNA from 1 species